GAAAAUAGAGGCGCGGAACAGUAAACAGCAGUAAACGGCAGAGAAUAUACGACAUCCGAGGAACCGUAAAGUAAACUGAGAAAAACAUCACGCUCGGCCGGCCGGCCGGCCGUCACUCACCUGAGCGCAGUAACGUGUGCCUUAAAUUUGAUACUUUCCGUAAGCUGCUAUCCUCCCGACCUCGAGAUGUCAUUAUCGUUUCCCCGGGGGAUAUAGAGAAACUUGAUUAUGUGCUUUAUAUCGAAAUUCGGACGCGUUGGACAUGUUACAUGGGGAGAAUAUUAGUUUUGUUUUCUUUUAUAUAAAUUCUUUUCGAUUUUACUAUGUUUCCCUAGACUGAGAGAAAAAAUAUAUAAAAAAUAAGAAAUAUUUAUUCAGGUACUAUAUAGUAACAUAUUUGUUUAUACUAAUAUAUAAUAUAAUAUUUACUUAUACUAAUUUUUUAUAGUAAAAAUUGUUAUAGAAUUAUGUAACUAAGGAACAUAUCGAUAUUUUGCCUUGAUUUAUUAACAUUCGUUUUACAUGUAUUAUUUGUAUUUUAAGAACUGAAAUCUGCUGUUACAAAAUUUGUUAUGUUCCUUAUGAUAAAUUCUAUUGACAAUCUAUUUUUGCACUACUAGGAAACAUGGCAAAAUGGGAAAUAAUUUAUAUGAAAAGAAGCUAUAUAAAAAAGCUAUAUUCUCUUUGUGUACACAGGCUGUUGCUCGUACAAGCAUUGAUGCAAAAAAUGAGCGAAAACCUUAAGGUUAUCACAGUCGGACAAAGAUUUAUAAUUUGCCCAAAUAUGUGUUUAUGACCUGAAACCGAACUGUUGGGAAGAAAGGCGCAAAAAGGAGCUCUCAAAUAAAGGAUUUCGAAUAUCUAAGGCUGUGGCACGUAACAGUCUAUGCAUCCGCCUCUGCGGGCCCAUUACUGCGAGGUAUUAUCGUCGAUAUUCUCGACUAUCGACUUGGAUCUUCGAAUCCGUCCUGCGCAACGUCGCCCACGCUCGCUCAUCGAAGCUCGCGCGUGUCUUUCUCGUUGACGUCUGCGAGACGUCGAACGCGACUUUGGGAAAGCCGGUGGUGCGUGUACGCGCCAACAGCGAGGGCAGAACCUAUACAAUCGAUAGUGCGGUGAAGAGUCCGCCGCCGAGCGAAUGCAUUCGCGUUGUGUGUUUAUGCCAGCGCGUACUCGCGGUGGGAGGAACAGGACGAAGAGGUAAGACGACGACAUUUAUUGUAUUCUAAGAACAAUUCUCAAGAGAGUACGAGUGGCACGCGACGAAUGGAACGCAAAGAGCACGAUUGGAUCAAAAUACGAAGAUGAAACGAUAUAGCGCGCAUUAAAAAGAGAUAGGGGAGCGGGAUUGAGCAGACGAUAGAAAAAUAAAGAGAGAAAAAGAGUAAGGAAGAAAUAUUUUCUGUAUGUCCUCUGAACAGCAAGUGACACACGGUGAGAAUAGCGCACAAUCGAGAGCAGAAAUAUUAAACUUAAAUGUAUACUACAUAAAUACAACAGCGGGGCGAUAAAAGAAAGAACGAGUCCGAGGAGCUACUGGGAGAUCGAGUGAGGGAGCGAGUGAGAGAAAGAGAUACUGCAAAGUGAGUGAGUGAGAGAGAAAGAAAGAGAGAGAGAGAGAGAGAGAGAGAGAGAGAGAGCAAGAGGAGAGACGCAAGAGCGGACCAAAGGAGAGACGGACUCGUUCGAGCCGAACGCGCUUCUCUCUUAUGACCGGAGCGGAGAUAGAUAGACGGAGAGAAAGAGACGUCGGAGAAGGACACGGCGAGAGGACCGCGGCGUGCACUCGGUGUCCCCUCCCCACGAGGAACACGGCGUGCACGUGCAUCAGGGCGUGCGCGCGUGUGUGCGUGUACAAAGUAGGUCCACGGAGCGGAGGAGAGACGGCGAAUGAAUAUCGCCGUCCCCUCGCGGCUGGUGCGACCAAUCCGCGCCAAGCGCGAGCUGCGUGAAGGCGGAACGCGGUACUCUUCGCGUAUAUCCGCGUAUUUAUUAUUCAGUUUGCAAAUACGUGGCAAAAAUGAUCUCUCUCUGGCGCGCUCGCUCGCUCGCACGCUCGCCCGCAUCGCCGGCUGGAUCUCGCGCGGCCGCGCACCUCUCUCUCCCGCAGCACGGCCCGCGGAGCCGGGAGGUGGAGCCAGAAGGCAGAAGGAGCAGGGCAACGACGAGAUAUCGGCCGUUAAUUUGUUAGAAACGCCACCGGCACGGCCGAUUGCGCCGCGCACGCCUGCCUGCGUGCGUGCGUGCGUGCGUGUGCACGCGCUCCUUAUGUAUUACGCGACGAAGCGCAGUGGCCGGCCCCAUUUGGGGGACCUCGUCGCGAUCUCGCGAUGUCGGUAAUGUUAGACGACGAAUGGGUGAUCGAUUGGUGUUGACGCGAGAGAGUUCCGGGGCCGUACUCCUCACGCAUUUCGCUGGUACGCCCUUUUUCUUCCAAGUUUCGUUUGUCCUACACGAGCGUCCCGUAUAAGGUCGUUUGACUUGGGAAUCAGAAAGACGUACUUGGUGUUUGAAUAUAGAUAGAAUAUUAUGGUUUUUUUAUAUAUAAAUGUUUAUAUAAAUUUUUUUCAACUUUGCUAUGUUUUUAGUAAUCCAUAAAAAAGUUUCGUUGAAUUGUUGUAGGAUAUUAAAGGAUAGAUUAUGAUGAAGAUGCUAAAGGGUCGGGUAGUAACAAUACAAAAUGUAAUAGUAAAUAGGUAAGUUGGAAUAAGAUAAAGUAGAUUGAUUAAUGUAAUGAGCAUGAUGAUAGUAACGAGUAAAAGAGUGGAAACUUAAAUAACGAAAUGUAUAGACUGUAACUAUUAUGAUACUAGGAUGAGAAUAUAGAUAGAAAAAAGUUUACUAUUAGGUGUGGGCAGAUAAGUGUGAUUAAGACAAUUUUUGUAAACCAAGUCCUCUUCUUGACAGUAGCUAAAGUAAUAAAUAUAAAUAAUAAUAAAUAUUUCUCAUCACCAAGUUUCGUUAGCAAAUUUCUAGUCAAAUAUGAACGGACCAGAAAAUUUCGUUGAAGUUACCAGAAUUCUAUUCAAGUUAGCAAAAUUUCUGGUAACAUCAACCGGAAUUUUCUGGUUUGUUCACAUUUUAGAGAAAUUAGUCAAUUCGACAAAACUUUGUUCUCCGCACAAGAAGAGAAAUGGUCCAGGACUGUUAGUAAGAUCUAUCUUGCUAAGGAAUAUUACGCUAGAAAUACAAUGUUUUAAUAGCACACAUAUUUCGAUUUCUAAAAUAUAACUACUACAUGUGAGGUGAAAAGACAGUAAAUUAUUGCAGAAUGUCGAUAUAUCCCUCGAUCGCAAAAUUCUAUAGUAACCUUUACUGUAAAAUUCUCUCCGUGUGCUUCCUCUGCUGAUGAUGCUAAUUUUACACGAAAAUAUCGCGUGUUCGAUCAGCUGCUCGCGCGAUCAACUCUUUUUUAAUUCGAGGCCUUUUCAUUAACGCCGGUGCACGCAACCCGCGGGUAACGUCGUGUUUAAUUAGUUGUGCGUCAAAAAACAACGGCGGAGCAGAGAGAAAUCGCGCCGCCGGCGCGUUCGAACGGAAAAAGGAGCAGCGUCGCUCCUCUAUGCAAAACACAGUAUCCCCCGUUUUUCUACGAACGCGUGUACUCGCACCAUGGUCAGUUACACCUUCCCACCGUGUGUUCUCCGCACGCCGCAUAACAUUUCCGCACUUUACGCUCGCGGCCGAUAUCAUCUCACUUCUUUCGCUCGCGCGAGUUCUUUGAAGUUCGCCUGCGCCCGUAUCCCGGAUUCCAUGGAAACACGCAAUUUAAUUGCUCGAUCGUAAUUACAAAAUUGCGAUAGCUCGCUCGAUCAUCGCGUGUCGUUAAUUCUGAUCUCGCUUAACGUCGGGAUGCGCGCGUGCUUAUACGCGUACGAAAUUCAUUCGCGAUGAACGUGGGAGAGUCGAUGCAGGACGCGGAAAUAUCAAGGAAAUGUCGCUCGGCAAGUGAUACGGUCCAGCACUGGUCAGACAUACGCGAAAUUCAAGCUGCGCGGACUCGUAUGAGAGACACCCGUUCGCGCUGUUAUCCCGGAUCCUUGUUAGGAGAUAUUCGACGAAGAGGCCGUCUUGGCCACCGAAUUCUUGAGAUUAAUAAGACUGGAGAAGAAAAAGGAUUCAGAAUUUCAAUUUCUGGAAAUACAUGAAGUAUAUCCCUAAUUCCGAACUGUUGAUAGAUAACUGAGAUAUUCGACGAAGAGAUCGACUUGAUCAUCGAAUUUCCGAGAUUAACAAGACUUGGAGGAGAAUUUUGUUUCAAUUUUUCAAAAUGCAGAAAAUAUAUCGAUUAUUCCGGAUUGCAUACAUUGAGAAAAAACAUGGAAAUUUAUUUGUGAGAUUUAAUAAAUUAAUUUUCAUUUCUGCAUAAACUUCAACAAUUUCGAGUGUAAAUUAACCUGUCAGAUGCUGUCAAUUAAAGUAAAUAUUUUAUAUGAAAAAAAUUAUUAUUCAUAUGGAAAAAAAAUCUUUCUAUUCCUACAAUCAAGUUUCUCAUCUGGUCCUCAAAAAACAGGAAAUUCAGUGACACUAACAGAGUGGUUUUUUCCGCGUGGAGAUGAAACGAUUACGGGCGCUGGUGCAAUUUUUGAUCUGUCGAGAUUGAUAUGCAGUUAACACUCGGAAUACUGAAUUACAAGGUGCGACAAAGAACCGCGCCAGU